rnacentral:rRNA from 1 species
UGGAGAGUUUGAUCCUGGCUCAGAUUGAACGCUGGCGGCAGGCCUAACACAUGCAAGUCGAACGGUAACAGGGAGCAGCUUGCUGCUCUGCUGACGAGUGGCGGACGGGUGAGUAAUGUCUGGGAAACUGCCUGAUGGAGGGGGAUAACUACUGGAAACGGUAGCUAAUACCGCAUAACGUCUACGGACCAAAGUGGGGGACCUUCGGGCCUCAUGCCAUCAGAUGUGCCCAGAUGGGAUUAGCUAGUAGGUGGGGUAACGGCUCACCUAGGCGACGAUCCCUAGCUGGUCUGAGAGGAUGACCAGCCACACUGGAACUGAGACACGGUCCAGACUCCUACGGGAGGCAGCAGUGGGGAAUAUUGCACAAUGGGCGCAAGCCUGAUGCAGCCAUGCCGCGUGUAUGAAGAAGGCCUUCGGGUUGUAAAGUACUUUCAGCGGGGAGGAAGGCGUUGUGGUUAAUAACCRCAGCGAUUGACGUUACCCGCAGAAGAAGCACCGGCUAACUCCGUGCCAGCAGCCGCGGUA